AUGGGCUAGGGGGUCCCAACGACUUACCAAACCUAACCAAACUCCGAAUACCGAAGAGUAGAGCGAGGCAGACACACUGCGGGUGCUAAGGUCCGUAGUGGAGAGGGAAACAGCCCUGACCGCCAGCUAAGGUCCCUAAGUUAUCACUAAGUGGGAAACGAUGUGGGAAUGCUUAGACAACCAGGAGGUUGGCUUAGAAGCAGCCAUCCUUUAAAGAAAGCGUAACAGCUCACUGGUCAAGCGUUCCUGCGCGGAAAAUGUAACGGGGCUUAAGUGAUACACCGAAGCUGCGGGCUCGAAAGAGCGGUAGCGGAGCGUUCUGUAAGUCUGUGAAGGUGGCCUGCGAGGGCUGCUGGAGAUAUCAGAAGUGAGAAUGCUGACAUGAGUAGCGAUAAAGAGGGUGAGAGGCCCUCUCGCCGAAAGUCCAAGGGUUCCUGCGCAAUGCUAAUCAGCGCAGGGUAAGCCGGCCCCUAAGGCGAGGCCGAAAGGCGUAGUCGAUGGGAACCAGGUUAAUAUUCCUGGGCCAGCGGGUAGUGACGGAUUGCGGAC
rnacentral:rRNA from 1 species